rnacentral:rRNA from 1 species
CCCUUAGAUGUUCUGGGCCGCACACGCGCUACACUGACGAAUGCAACGAGCUUAUAACCUUGGCCGAAAGGUCUGGGUAAUCUCCAAAUUUCGUCGUGAUGGGGAUAGAUUAUUGCAAUUAUUAAUCUUCAACGAGGAAUGCCUAGUAAGCGCAAGUCAUCAGCUUGCGUUGAUUACGUCCCUGCCCUUUGUACACACCGCCCGUCGCUCCUACCGAUUGAAUGGUCCGGUGAAGCGCUCGGACCGCGGCCUCUUGACGGUUCGCUGUCGAUUGGCUGUGGGAAGUUCGUUAAACCUUAUCAUUUAGAGGAAGGAGAAGUCGUAACA